rnacentral:rRNA from 1 species
GAUGAACGCUGGCGGCGUGCCUAAUACAUGCAAGUCGAGCGAACGGACGAGAAGCUUGCUUCUCUGAUGUUAGCGGCGGACGGGUGAGUAACACGUGGAUAACCUACCUAUAAGACUGGGAUAACUUCGGGAAACCGGAGCUAAUACCGGAGGAUAUUUUGAACCGCAUGGUUCAAAAGUGAAAGACGGUCUUGCUGUCACUUAUAGAUGGAUCCGCGCUGCAUUAGCUAGUUGGUAAGGUAAUGGCUUACCAAGGCAACGAUGCAUAGCCGACCUGAGAGGGUUAUCGGCCACCCUGGAACUGAGACACGGUCCAGACUCCUACGGGAGGCAGCAGUAGGGAAUCUUCCGCAAUGGGCGAAAGCCUGACGGAGCAACGCCGCGUGAGUGAUGAAGGUCUUCGGAUCGUAAAACUCUGUUAUUAGGGAAGAACAUAUGUGUAAGUAACUGUGCACAUCUUGACGGUACCUAAUCAGAAAGCCACGGCUAACUACGUG